AAAAUUUUAUUAGCAUAAGGUCAAACUUGAACCCUCGGAUUCUUUGGGUGGCAGUAUAAAUUGUUCAAACAUUAAUCAUUCAAGGAAGAGCAGAGCUGGGCAAUAGUGGGGCCAAAUAUCUAAGAUCCCAAAUAGAGAACCAUGAGUCUGUCAAACAGUGGAAGUAAAGUAAGAGGUGGGACUUGACUGUGGAAGCAGGGCUCAGACACAGGACCAAGUUGAGGAUUAGCUGAAACAGGGCUGAAGUGGAAGCAGUUUUCCAUAAGACACACCUACCAGUGUAACAUGUCAGUUUACCACUGCUAUGGCAACACUCAGAAAUUACUGCCCCUUUCCAUGGCAAUGACCUGACAACCAGGAAGUUACCACCCUUUUCCUAAAAAUUUCUGUAUAAAUUGCCCCUUAAUUUGCAUAUAAUUAAAAGUGGGUAUAAAUGUGAGUGCAAAACUGCCUCCGAUCUGCUACUUUGGGCACACAGCCUAUUGGGGUAGCCUUGCUCUGCGAGUCGUUGUUUACCACCACCAGCUCACCCUUGAAUUCUUCCUUGGGCAAAGUCAAGAGCCCUCCUGGGCUAAGCCCCAAUUUUGGAUCUCACCUGUCUUAUGUCAGAAAUAUCAGGGCCUGUGGAGCCUCAGUGUAUAACUCAGGAUAAGGAGAGCAGAAUCAUGCUUAUGGCAGGACCCUGAUGAGUCUGUUUGUUGACCUAGGCCAGUGGCAAGAAAUCUCCUGGGAGCGAGACAACUCAAAGGGCAGAAAGAAGUGGGGAGAAAGAGAAAGCCCUAGGUCAAGGCUGGAGCAGUUUCUGAGAAGACGGGAAAGACUAAGGGAAGUCAAGAGUCAAAAAUCCUUAAUGAUAAGUAGAUUAGGAUAUGGGGCAAGAGCUUAGAAAAAAUGUCAUAAAAGGAGGGCAUAGGACCACCGCUAUUCUCUUUCCCUGGUCUCUCCUUAUCUGGCCUUCUUGCCCCUAGAUAUGAAGGGCUGUGAUAAUGGCUUUGCUCAAUAGCAUGUAUCCUGGGUCAGUGUGGUAAGAGGCAGUAGAGAUUAUAUCCAAGUGCUGUGUCUGCUAUUUAUUUACUGCAUGACCUCAAGCAAGUUAUUUAACUCUCUAAGCUUCAGUUUCCUCAUCUGUGAAUCACCUGUGGAUAAUAGUAAGGUUAAACCUGGUGCUGAGCUCAUGGAAAAGUUCAGCUGUACUGCUGUAGAAUUCUCAUCUUCUUGUAGUCCCAUGACAUACCACACCUCUGUGAGCAAGCCAGAUUAAGGACCCAUGUUCUCAAAAUAGAUUCUUGUAUAUGAAAGAGUUCAGUAAACAAUAUAGGAAGCAACAGUAAUUGCUUGUCUUUCUCCCAGCCCUCUGUUCCAGGGAAGGGUUUUUUGGUGGAGUGGGAGUCUCCUCCAGGAGAAAUAGUAGAUGUUCUAAGCUGCAGGGAAAUGUCUCCACAGAAACUUUUGCUGGAGGUUCUGGCUGGAAGAAAAUCCAAGAAGGACAGCUGGGUCUCAGAAUGCCAUCUGAGCAUGCAGGACAAUAUCCCAGCCAGUUGGGGCCCAAGACAAGACCAGAGUUCAUUUUAAUAGUGUUUAUCCAGGUUCUGUUAUCAGAACUGGGCACCAUGAGCCGUCCUUCUUAAAGACAAAUACAACAGAAAAAGAGGCUGCCUCUUAACUGACUUAUUCACCCCUUGGAAAAUUUGUUAAGAUAAAACAUACUCCUUGUUGUUUUAACUCUAUUAUCUUGUUCAACAAAGCAAAAUUUAGAAACAAUAAAACUAAAGAAGGAAGUAUCUAUCUCUGAGUAUGAUCUUUACUUCUUUUACUCCAUAGAACGCUUUUUAAAAUUUGACAUUUUAAACAAUCUCUUGAUCUUCAUUUGUUCUUUUUUCAAGGAGAGAUAUGAACACAAUGUUCUUUAAGAAAUUGUUCUUCAUUAAACUAGGCAACAACAUGUGAGUCAUUGUAACGUAUUAUGUUAAAUUUUAAAAAAUACAAAACUAGGUGCAACCCAGUGACUGUAGUUACAAAUGUGCUUCUGGAAUGAGUAGCCCAC
rnacentral:lncRNA from 1 species